rnacentral:lncRNA from 1 species
GCGUUCGGUUUCCACUCGAUCGCGAUAUCGGCGGGCGCGAAGCUCUCCGCUCAACUCCCGCGCAUCGUGCCGCGCCUCUACCGCUACAGGUUCGACCCCACCCCGCGCAUUCAGAACUCCAUGGCCGCAAUAUGGCAGGCGUUGGUGCCUGACACGCACUCCACCGUGCAAAAGUAUCAUAAGGAGAUAUUGGAUGACCUCGUGACCAACCUGACCUCAAACCAGUGGCGGGUCAGGAUGUCCUGUUGCAACGCUCUCGCCGAUUU